ensembl:lncRNA
UUAAUGUAAACAGUUUAUUGGAACAUUGUACAGAAUCAAGCAAUGGUAACCAGUCACAUCCACUAUAUCAUCUUACAAAUAUUACAAAAUUACUACAAUACAAUAUAGAUUCUUUGCAUGAUCCAAAAUAUUUGGUGGCCCCAAAAGUAUUACUUUUUGUAUUUUAUUUUUUUUAAUUCAGCAGCUUAUUAAAAAAAAAGAAUAUUUAAACCUUGUCUAUCAAAAUGAUGUUCUUGCUUUGAUUAGCAAAAAAGAGGAAGGCUAAAUGCGAAUACGGGAGUCUGACUACACAUUCCUUAAUAUUGGUGGGUGCUUUAUAAAAUACAAUUUUUUUCAGUAAAGCUUCAUAAAAGUCCAACUUAUAUUUGCAAAUUAUGUUUACAACCCGACGUUUGAGUCCUUAACCCAUUUCUUUCCUUUUAAAUUCGGUUUCUUUAGAUACAGUAUACAUCUACUGCAAAAACACCAACAAAACCUCAAAGUACUUGCUCUCAAGGCAUCGUGUACAACUCACACUAAAUAUUCACCGUAGUAUGAUAACAAUCACUUUUGACAAAAAGUACAUGAAGUAUGUGCAAGUUACCAUUUUAUUCUUCCCUCUGCAUUGCAACUGUAUUCACAUUUCACAGCUAGCGGCGUCGCGCACGAAUAAACAUUGAUGUAAAUCAACACCCACGGCUACCCCCUUUAAACACGAAGGGCGAGAGUCUUUACUAAGCUUCAGUUGUGGAGAAGAGCUGCAUAAAAGGCGAACAUGUAGGGGAAAUCAUGACAAAUAACACUGAAACACAGACAACCUGAGGUAAACACGGAGAAAACACGUAUUCAAGUAGUGAAACACAACUACAAUGUGUAGCAGCAGUCGAGUGGGAAUUACAGCACAGUAACGGGGGGGUUGUGUCGCUUGUGUUUUAAGGAACGACCCUCUUUCAGUGAAAGAAUAACAGGACUGUGUACACACACACACACACACACACACACACACACAGAUCCCAUCGAGCCUUGAAUCCUCCAUUUCUUUUGCAUGCCAAACCGCUGGAAUGUGACAGACAGAAUCCCUUCCUAACACAAAAUGAAGUGGCACUUACAAGUAUUGGCCUCUGUAUUCCAUGAUGAAUUAUACCCCUGUUUAGCUGCUUAACAGAUCCUUUACAUAUUGGUAUGCUGAGAAAGUUCCUCUAAGACACAGAAGUACUUCUGUCUUCUAAUAAGCCCGUUGCAUCGGGACACUUAUUGCAUUAGGUAAAUACAUUUAAGCAGCAGUACUUUAACGAUCCGUUACAACUAAGUCGUAUUCUGAUCGGUUUGGCUACGUCAUUCAUUUCAAGCACGAGCCGUUUCAACCUGACGUGCACGUCAGGCUCUGGCAAAGGGUUAAAAUACUGCAGUAAUUACUCUGGCCAGCAGAGGAAAAAAGACUGGCAGGGCACAAAAACACCUAACUUAAGCUCUCCAACCCAUCAUGGAAUACGUUCAGGCUCCUUCUAACUCAAAGACAACACACUUUAUAAAAUAUAACAGCGCAAAAACAACCAGAGACGAUAACAACGUUGUAGUUUCACAGUAUUCAAAGACAACACAUCCAGCUAUGGGGGUCGACGUUUAGGGAGAACACUCCAGCAAGAAUCAUGUUGAAGUUAGAAAAGUGUUGUGAUACAUUUGUAAAACCUUUAAAUGAAGCUCCCCUCCCUCCCGUAAUCCCCCCCCCCCAUGCAUUGGGCUGUGAGGGGCCACCAACAUGCAAGAGAUGAAAGUACCCCACGAAACACAACCACCCCAAACGUUACGGUCGACCUCGGGAUCAUGCUUCACCCCCCCGAGGACGAGGAUGAGAAAUAAACAGGUGACAUUGUGGCUCCGGGCAGCCAGAGACUCACGACCUAAAACAGACCCCUAAGACGCCUCUGUGUGUCCGACGGUAUAAAACAUGGCGGCCGACGUCGGACACGCCCGCAGAGCGCGGCCGGUCAUGCUACGUGACGGCUAGUCGCCGCCAUUUCUCAGGUUAGACGAAAGCAAACAAAAAGAUAGAUAAAGUACAAGGUCAGAGAAGAAGCUCAUCGCGGGGGGGGGCACUUGGCACUGCAGCUGCCACCUCCCUCCCACCCCGCCCUUCAGGUCCGGUAGGAGGGGUACGCGUCCCCUUCCCCCCAGUAAAGGGUAACAUGUUCCCUGGGUAAAAGAGGUUCC